UACGUAGGGUGCAAGCGUUAAUCGGAAUUACUGGGCGUAAAGCGUGCGCAGGCGGUUAUGUAAGACAGGUGUGAAAUCCCCGGGCUUAACCUGGGAACUGCAUUUGUGACUGCAUGGCUAGAGUGCGGCAGAGGGGGAUGGAAUUCCGCGUGUAGCAGUGAAAUGCGUAGAUAUGCGGAGGAACACCGAUGGCGAAGGCAAUCCCCUGGGCCUGCACUGACGCUCAUGCACGAAAGCGUGGGGAGCAAACAGG
rnacentral:rRNA from 1 species